rnacentral:rRNA from 1 species
AUUGAACGCUGGCGGCAGGCUUAACACAUGCAAGUCGAACGGAGUGGAGGACGGGUGAGUAAUGCUUUGGAAUCUGCCUGGUAGUGGGGGAUAACGUCCGGAAACGGGCGCUAAUACCGCAUACUAUCAGAUUAGCCUAGGUCGGAUUAGCUAGUUGGUGGGGUAAAGUACGACCAAGGCGACGAUCCGUAACUGGUCUGACAGGAUUAUCAGUCACACUGGAACUGAGACACGGUCCAGACUCGUACGGGAGGCAGCAGUGGGGAAUAUUGUACCAUGGGCGAAAGCCUGAUCCAGCCAUGCCGCGUGUGUGAAGAAGGUCUUCGGAUUGUAAAGCACUUUAAGUUGGGAGGCGUUACCAACAGAAUAAGCACCGGCUAACUUCGUGCCAGCAGCCGCGGUAAUAC